rnacentral:tRNA from 1 species
GGGGUCGUGGUAUAACCUGGCAGCAUGCGAGGCUCCAGACCUUGAGAUGGGGGUUCGAAUCCCCCCGACCCCA